rnacentral:rRNA from 1 species
UGCCAGCAGCCGCGGUAAUACAGAGGGUGCAAGCGUUGUUCGGAAUUAUUGGGCGUAAAGCGCGUGUAGGCGGCCUAGCAAGUCGGAUGUGAAAGCCCUCGGCUUAACCGAGGAAGUGCGUUCGAAACUACUGGGCUUGAGUACCGGAGAGGGUGGCGGAAUUCCCGGUGUAGAGGUGAAAUUCGUAGAUAUCGGGAGGAACACCAGUGGCGAAGGCGGCCACCUGGACGGAUACUGACGCUGAGACGCGAAAGCGUGGGUAGCAAACAGGAUUAGAUACCCUGGUAGUCCACGCUGUAAACGAUGAGCGCUAGGUGUUGCGGGUGUUGACCCCUGCAGUGCCGCAGCUAACGCAUUAAGCGCUCCGCCUGGGAAGUACGGCCGCAAGGCUAAAACUUAAAGGAAUUGGCGGGGGAC